CAGCAGCCGCGGUAAUACGAAGGGUGCAAGCGUUAAUCGGAAUUACUGGGCGUAAAGCGUGCGUAGGCGGUGAGUUAAGUCUGCUGUGAAAUCCCCGGGCUCAACCUGGGAAUGGCAGUGGAUACUGGCUCGCUAGAGUGUGUCAGAGGAUGGUGGAAUUCCCGGUGUAGCGGUGAAAUGCGUAGAGAUCGGGAGGAACAUCAGUGGCGAAGGCGGCCAUCUGGGACAACACUGACGCUGAGGCAUGAAAGCGUGGGGAGCAAACAGGAUUAGAUACCCCGGUAGUCCCUGUCUCUUAUAC
rnacentral:rRNA from 1 species